rnacentral:pre_miRNA from 1 species
AGAACGCACAUUAAUUAUCCCUAGGGCCAUAGGAUAAACAAAAACCUUGCAAAAACAAGUAAGCACACCCUAGAAUGGUUUUAGCACGAUUACUAACCUAUGGCUUUGAUACCAGUUGAAGGAAAAAACUU